rnacentral:lncRNA from 1 species
CAGGUAUGUGCAUCUCUAUUUCACCUUCGGCAAGUAGUCCCAUUAACCAUAAGAAAAAAGUAAAAUAAAAAACCUCCUUGACUUAAAAUUUGCUUAUCUGCCAAAAUCCAAUAUUGAUGAUUAAGAAAUUUUCGAGACUUAGUAUUGCUAGCUAAAAGUAAUAACUAUCACGUCAAUCUCUCUCUCCUUGUACAUUGUAUAUAUCUCUAAACAUCUACUAUACACGAACUUUGCAAAUUUUAAAAAAAAAAAAUUGUAGCAGCAUGUUCUACUAUUAUGCUACAAUCACUAAGGCCUAAUUUUGUUGCUCGCGACCAUGAAUGGAAUGCAGUCUUGACUCAUGACCCAAUUUAAAACCAUGUCAAAACACACGAAAGGACCUUCAAAAUCUUCAAUCACUUUGGUAUAAUACUUACUAUUGGAAUUGAUAAGAUUCUCUUUAUAUGUUUAGUUGUUUCCUUAAUUCAAGUGACAUAUCUUCCCUAAUUUUGGGAUCUAUCCCUUGUAGGAUUCUCUUUAUAUGUUUAGUUGUUUCCUUAAUUCAAGUAAUGUAUCUUCCCUAAUUUAAGGAUCUAUCCUUGCAGUUCUCAUUAUAAAAUAUGCAUCAUGUAUUAUGUAAACAAAGACAGAAAUUGAGUAUAGAUGUAGUAGCCCUUUGUGGUUUUACCUUCUUCUCCCCAUUCUGCUUUUCUCUCUUACUAAAAACUUAACAUGGUAUUAAAGCUUACAAAAAAUUCUUGGGCUUUUCCUUUCUUAUUCUCCGGUUCAAGGUCUUAUUCUCCUUUAUUAUCAUACAGAAAAAUAUAUGGGUUAUAAAGUCCGAAUUCUUGACAUUCAUCUCAUUAAAAAAAUUUUUGUUCUUUCUUUGUUAUUGAAAGCAAAAAUAAGCUAUUAGAUAUAUCCAAUUUGCAGCAUCUCCUCCUAAAAAGUGUAGUCCUUUUCUUCCUAUUCUCCUUUUGGAUAACUUCUUUUAUUCUUACUUAAAAAAUUUUGGAAUUCUUCUGCUUAAAAAAUUUUGGAAUUCUUCUACUUAUAAAAAUUUUGGAAUUCUUCUACUUAUUCUUCUCUCCUUCAGAAUUGGAGAACCAAAGGUGGAAAUCCCUAUUUUCUUUUUCUUCCCAAAAGCUCUUAUGCUCUUCCAGGUUUGAAUCCCUAAAGUGUCAUUUUUCUCCUUAAAAUUCCAACUCAAGAUCUGUUCUUCAACCUCAACUUUUUGUGAGGAGAGGGGAGCCUAGCUAAGAGAAUUGAUGCCUAUUCCACAUACCAUUUGAGGGUGUUGGUGAACCUGCUUAUUUGCUGGUUUGUUGCAAUGCUGUGAGGAUGAUGAUGGAUCACUUUUGUGCUGUUGGCCUUACUGUUUUGAUUUACUUAUGGGAUAGCCUUUGGUUUCAAUAAGAAUCUGAUGUGGAGUGCUGGAAUUGAUGUAGAAUAUUACUCCUUAAUUUGAGGAUUAGUUGUCUCUUUAAUUUAAUGGAUGUAUCAUCUUUAAUUUAAGGAUCUAUAUUUUGUAGUUUUUUGUUAUAAACUGCACUAUUUUAUAAACAUAAGAUAGAAAUUGAGUAAAGACAUGAACUUUUGUGCUUUUAUCUUUCAUUCUCUUUUCUCGUCUUCUUUCUCUUACUAAAUACUCAACACCUACUAAUUCUUCGAACAAGAAUUUCGAAACACACCAAACCUCACGAUAGAACUUUUCUUAAGCCAAGCUGAUAAAUUCAGGUUCAGGAGCACAACAUUCUAUAAUAAUGUUUCUAAACUACACUUUAUAAUAUUGACUCUUACAGUGUCAAUAUGAGCCAAUCUUUUUAAGAUCCCUCCUUAUGGAAAUGAUGAUUUUUUUAAGUCCAAGGAGUUGAUUGAAUAAGAAAAUUUUUGGGAUCUUAAUCUCAUCAUACUUUAUCCCAACUCUAAUAGAAUGACUGCAAAUGACUAGAACUAGUCACUAGCUUAGACAGCCAAAGAUGUUGAAUUAGCCAAACCAACAAAAAAAAAGGCAGCAUGAUUUACUUUUUAUUAGUGCCAAUAUCUAUAGUCAUUGAGAUUUAAUUUAAAUUAAAACAGGUUAAAUUACAAAUUUUGAUAUUAUUUAUUGCAAUACCACUUAAAUUGAGCAUAGACUGAGAUAAAGGUAC